UGGACCCUGUGCCAGGAAAGGAAGGGCGCAGCUCCUGCAAUGCGGAGCAGCCAGGGCAGUGGGCACCAGGCUUUAGCCUCCCUUUCUCACCCUACAGAGGGCAGGCCCUUCAGCUCCAUUCUCCUCCAAGGCUGCAGAGGGGGCAGGAAUUGGGGGUGACAGGAGAGCUGUAAGGUCUCCAGUGGGUCAUUCUGGGCCCAGAGAUGGGUGCUGAAGCUCCCACGCCUGCCUGUGAAAAUGGAGUCCUCUUUCACCUGGGAGAGCCAGGUGCUGCCCCGAGAAGGAUGCAUUUAUGGCUUCGUGAAGUCUUUCCUGACCCCCGAUGCUGCUGACUAUAGAGACAAAGUCUCACUAUGUUGCUCAGGCUGGUCUUGAACUCCUGGCCUCAAGCGAUCCUCCCACCUCAGCCUCCCAAAGUGUUGGGAUUAUAGACAUGAGCCACUGCACCUGGCCGACCUUGGGCAAGUUCUUAAACCCUUCAAAGCCUCAUUUUUCUCCAAUCACAAAAGGGAAAGAUGGUAAUAUUUUCCCCACCAAAUUCUUGUCGGAUGCCCUCACAGAAUUGAGAUUAUGUACGUAAAACACCAGGUGCCUAACCCGGCACAGAGCAGGAGGGCUAAGCGUGACAUCCAGCACGUGGUCAGUGGAAUCCAGUAUUCCUACCCACCUCUCUAGUCUCCCCUCCACCCCUCUCCCUUUCAGAGGCACCAAGCUGCUUGUGGUCUUGUCUAUUCCCACUCCCUGCCUGACUGAACAUUUUCUCCACCUCCUGAUCAUCAGCAGCAGAAACUGGCUGCUCUUCCUCCUGGGUAGACAGCCAGACUGUAUUUCCCAGCUGCCCCUGCAGUGAGAUGUGGCCAUCGGAGCCAGCAUUGGCCAAUGGACUCUGCAUGGGAGUGACGCAUGCUGCCUCCAGGCUUGUCUCUAAAACCUCCCACGUGUCCUCCGCCUGCUCUUCCCACCUCCAAGGAGCACGGCAAUUGUGGAAGACCCAGAUUAGUGAUGGCAGAACCAUAGAUGGGAGGAACCUGGGUCCCUGACUUAAAGUAUCAUGGAUUUGGAUGUUCCCUUAGUGAGAAAUAAACUUCCAUUGUGUUUAAGCCUUUA
rnacentral:lncRNA from 1 species